rnacentral:rRNA from 1 species
GAUGAACGCUGGCGGCGUGCCUAAUACAUGCAAGUCGAGCGAACAGACGAGGAGCUUGCUCCUCUGACGUUAGCGGCGGACGGGUGAGUAACACGUGGAUAACCUACCUAUAAGACUGGGAUAACUUCGGGAAACCGGAGCUAAUACCGGAUAAUAUAUUGAACCGCAUGGUUCAAUAGUGAAAGACGGUUUUGCUGUCACUUAUAGAUGGAUCCGCGCCGCAUUAGCUAGUUGGUAAGGUAACGGCUUACCAAGGCAACGAUGCGUAGCCGACCUGAGAGGGGGGUCGCCCACACGGGAACGGACCCAGGGCCAAGACGCCUAGGGGAGGAACCAGGGGGGAAUCUCCCGCAAGGGGCGAAGGCCGGAGGGAGAAGCGCGGGGGGAGGGAGAAGGUUCUCGGGAGCGAAAAACUUUUUUAUGGGGGAAAAAAAAAUUGGAAAGUAAUUAUGCACUUUUGGAGGUUCCCUAAUAAAAAGCCCACGCCAAACCCGGGC